rnacentral:pre_miRNA from 1 species
AUGUGGCACUUUUCGAAUAUCGAGAUUCAAACAAGUCUAUCUUUGACCGUAAAUUUUUCAUAGAUCUUUUAAACAUUUUUAAAUUUUUAAUUAUUGUAACUUAUAGUACUUUUUACGUAGUUUUACAAAUAUAUAAAUUUCAUUUCAAAAAAAUUGAAGAUUUCAUGCGCAAAUUCCCGGUCAAACUUAAACAGUUUGACUCUCGAAAAACGAAAAGUGCCACAUAA